rnacentral:tRNA from 1 species
AAUGAAGUGCCUGAGAAAAGGGUUAUCUUGAUAGGAUAAAUUAUAUAAUUUAUAAUUAUCUUCAUUA